CUUCACGGAACCGAGCCACAGCGGCCGGUCGCCCUGCCGGUCCUGGCCGUACGUGGCCAGCAGCGCCUGCGCCUC
rfam:Streptomyces sp. 769, complete genome.